CAGCAUUUAAUUGUCCGCAGAGUGUAACAGAGUGUUGGAUAACCACAAGAGCAGACAUGAUACAAAUGUUUAUUUAGCAAAAUCCAGCUAUACAGUCAGCUAGUUUUCAUUUUAUGCACUAUAACGUUAUUCAGUUAACUCAGAAAUUAAAGGCAUCACACACACCCAGUGUGAACGCUCAAACUUUGUAGCUUUAAAACAUAGAGAGGAAACACAACAUAUGCUGACUGCGGCAUUUUAGACAAGCCUUUUCCUUGUAAAAAGAAGCCAAAAUACGUAUUUGCAACACAGCAUUUCAUUAGAUGCAAAAAUAAACUGUACCACUUUCCUUCCUCAGACUCCCAGAAGUUUCUUGGCCAUGUAGCCAGGCAUACUGUAGAGGAACAGGGCCACGAUGGCAAGCAGGAGCAGAGCCAGAACGAUUUUGAUGACCAGCCACUUGUACUGGUUGCAGACAAGGUGCCGGAUUGCUUUUAGUGGGCUGCUGUGCUUCUACCAGGUUUAUCUACAAUCAAAUUAUACUUUUGAUGAUUUGAGAAGGCAUUCUUUCUCUUCUAUCUAAUGUUGGUAUGUACACAUUCUUUGUCUUAUUCUGAUUAUGUAGGCCCCAACGUUACUGAAACAGUUAGGCCUCCUAAGCAGAUGUAUUCCAUAUGUUUUUGAACAUAUCUGUCUUCUGAACAAGGAGCAUUUAGU
ensembl:lncRNA